rnacentral:lncRNA from 1 species
AAAAAUAUUCUUAUAAUAUGUAAAUGCUGUCUUACAGCUAAGGGGGAGGGGGUGGAUUUUUUUAUAAUGUUGAUCUUGUUAUUAUAACUCACCAGACUUGAAAGUUGUUCUACCAAAAGCACAUUUAUUUUCGAAGAACUAACUUUCACUUAGGGAACGAAAAAAAAAUAUAUAAAACUUAUAAAAAAAUAUAAAAAAAAAUGAAAAAAAAUAAAAAAAUAAAAAAAAAAAAAUAUUUUAGGAGGAGAAUAAAACAACCAGUAACCCAAACCCAACUGAAGCUAGUGGAUCUACAACCUAUAAUCCAGAACCUUUUGUUCCUCCAACCUAUAAGCCAGAACUUUAUAUUUCAUCUAUAAGGGGAUCAGCAGAAAUGCCUCCCCCACCUCAUAUAUACGGCACCCAAAAAAAGAAAAGUAGAAGAAAAUAUAUCCUCGG